UCAUGACAACGGCAAACUAUUCGAAAGAAUAGGACGCAAAGCUUCGGGUCUAAAGCGUUUAAUCGCUAAGAUGGCUGAGUCGCCAUG
rnacentral:ncRNA from 1 species